UCGGACGUGGUGUACGGUGCACCGCGAGCUUAUCUUCAAGGAUAGAAGCCAAGUAGCUCGUAGGACGGGGUUCGACUCCCCGCGUCCGAA